ACGGUGGCAUCUUUACCCCUAUGAAAGAGCGAAGAAAUCACCCGUGGGAUCGAUCGGCCACGUCGACGGAUAAACCUCCCGUGUAAUCAGGCGCCUACGUCGGGUGCAGUUUUUUUUCCGUUUCGGUGUGGGUUCGGUGUGCGUUCGGGUGUGUUCUGGAACCCUCCGCCUUGCUCUGCUCCCGGCCAUCGUCCUCGCCCAGCACCUGCUGUCCGGAUCCUCAACCGCCGCCGUCCCCUGGCCCUGCAGAUCUUCCUCCACAACGUCGGUGCUCGAGGCUCUAGCCCCUGGCCGGCCGCGUAGAGCGCGGAGAUAUUUCUGCCUCCAGCUCGAUGGUAGGCUUGUGAGUCACGACGACCGUUGGAAGGAGAGGCGUGUGGCGGUGGGAAGGAGACGAGCCUCGGCGCUGAUCCCCGCCGCCGUCCUUCGCGGGAUUUCAACGGCAAUGCCGCACCAAGGAAUCCGGGCGGUGACGACCUCUGACAUCCAGGUGACGGCAAGCGAUUCAGAUUAGAGAUGUAAAGGACCCGGAGCAUCCAUAUUCAUUGGAAGAACUUAAUGUGGUAAUUGAAGUAUCGAUGAUGAACUUAGUAAUGUCAGGUAAGUUGAAAUCUAUCUACUGGAACUUUGAUGCUACAGUUCAGGAUUUUUAAUGAAAUCUAUCUAUUGGAACUUUGGAUGCUACAUGUCAGGUAACACUUCAUGUCAGAUUUCACCAUGUCCCUCUAAUUUAACAUUGGAAAGCCAUACUCAUGCGAUGCUGAGCAAAUAAUAUCUCUGUCAUGUAUGUUACUCCUUGAUAGUGCAUAUUCAUUUGUCAAAGAAAGUAGAGUCUAUAAAUUUGUUUUAUUAUACUUUCACACAGCCCCAUUCCCCACCUUCACAACUGCAUCCUACUCCUUCCACCUUCCUUUCUUGAAACUCGGUAGUAUCUCAUUCUGUUGUUAAUUAACAAGUUCGAUUCGCUAUUGACAUUGCAGUAUCAGAAGAGGAAUUGCUGUAGACUGGUGUCUUCACCAAAGAAGGGGAAGGACCGCUCGAUGACCAGUCCAUCAAUGUCGGCGUGUGCAGGAAGGCGGGUUCAAAAAGGUUUAAUUAAUUUGUGGUAAUAUGAUCGUGGAUAAUAUCGGAACGCUUCUAAUGAGGAGGUUGAAAGGAAGUACUGCUCCUACAAGCCUACAUUAUGAUCAUGUAGUGAAGGCCAGUUACAAGGCACAGGUUGGCAUGUCUAACAUUCUUCUACCGGUUCACGACACUGAGAAUGUGAGCCAUGGGUACAAGUUUGAGGCAAGUGUGUGGAUCCAGUUUAAAGAGAUUAGGCACGAGAAGCUUAUAUGAAAUCUAUGUCAUUCAAUGAAGAGUACCUUCCAUGUUGCACGGGCAUGGUCAUGUAGAGGAAGGAGCACCAGAAGGCAAGGAGCGUGGCCGGAUACUGUAGUUGUUAAAUCCUUUUCUUUGUUGUUAAAUCCAAGUCCUCUAUUUAUAUAUUUAUGUUGAUGGUGGUUACUGUAGCUGUCAUGUGUCGCAUGUGCCAUACAUGUCUGAAAUUGAUGAGCAUGGAACAUAUUGACUGAUGUAUAAUCUGGCCUAUCGUCUGCUAGGAUUUGCAGUGUUCAGCGGAUUUUUUUUUAUAUUUCUGCUUAGUGAGUAGACUUUGUUCUAGGCUAUAGUUCAUUUUCAGAAAAAUAUGGUUUUGUGA